AUUGAACGCUGGCGGCAUGCCUUACACAUGCAAGUCGAACGGCAGCACGGGAGCAAUCCUGGUGGCGAGUGGCGAACGGGUGAGUAAUAUAUCGGAACGUGCCCAGUCGUGGGGGAUAACGUAGCGAACGCUACGCUAAUACCGCAUACGAUCUAUGGAUGAAAGCGGGGGAUCGCAAGACCUCGCGCGAUUGGAGCGGCCGAUAUCAGAUUAGGUAGUUGGUGAGGUAAAGGCUCACCAAGCCGACGAUCUGUAGCUGGUCUGAGAGGACGACCAGCCACACUGGGACUGAGACACGGCCCAGACUCCUACGGGAGGCAGCAGUGGGGAAUUUUGGACAAUGGACGCAAGUCUGAUCCAGCCAUUCCGCGUGCAGGAUGAAGGUCUUAGGAUUGUAAACUUCUGUUAAGUGGGAAGAAAGCUAUAGUUCUAAUAAAGCUAUAGUAUGACGGUACCAUUAAAGAAAGCACCGGCUAACUUCGUGCCAGCAGCCGCCGCAG
rnacentral:rRNA from 1 species